rnacentral:rRNA from 1 species
ACGGGUGAGUAAUGCUUGGGAACUUGCCUUUGCGAGGGGGAUAACAGUUGGAAACGACUGCUAAUACCGCAUAAUGUCUACGGACCAAACGGGGCUUAGGCUCCGGCGCAAAGAGAGGCCCAAGUGAGAUUAGCUAGUUGGUAAGGUAAUGGCUUACCAAGGCAACGAUCUCUAGCUGUUCUGAGAGGAAGAUCAGCCACACUGGAACUGAGACACGGUCCAGACUCCUACGGGAGGCAGCAGUGGGGAAUAUUGCACAAUGGGGGAAACCCUGAUGCAGCCAUGCCGCGUGUGUGAAGAAGGCCUUCGGGUUGUAAAGCACUUUCAGUUGUGAGGAAAAGUUAGUAGUUAAUACCUGCUAGCCGUGACGUUAACAACAGAAGAAGCACCGGCUAACUCCGUGCCAGCAGCCGCGGUAAUACGGAGGGUGCGAGCGUUAAUCGGAAUUACUGGGCGUAAAGCGCACGCAGGCGGUUUGUUAAGCUAGAUGUGAAAGCCCCGGGCUCAACCUGGGAUAGUCAUUUAGAACUGGCAGACUAGAGUCUUGGAGAGGGGAGUGGAAUUCCAGGUGUAGCGGUGAAAUGCGUAGAUAUCUGGAGGAACAUCAGUGGCGAAAGCGACUCCCUGGCCNAAGACUGACGCUCANUGUGCGAAAGUGUGGGUAGCGAACAGGNUUUAGAUACCCUGGUAGUCCACACCGUAAACGCUGUCUACUAGCUGUUUGUGACNUUUAAGUCGUGAGUAGCNGAAGCUAACNGCGCUNAAGUAGACCGCCUNGGGGAGUANCGGCCGCAAGGUUAAAACUCAAAUGNAAUUGACGGGGGNCCCGCACAAGCGGNUGGNAGCAUGUGGUNUUAANUUCGAUGCAANCGCGAAGAACCUUACCUACACUUGACAUGCUGAGAACUUUCUAGAGAUAGAUUGGUGCCUUCGGGAACUCAGACACAGGUGCUGCAUGGCUGUCGUCAGCUCGUGUCGUGAGAGUUGGGUUAAGUCCCGCAACGAGCGCAACCCUUGUCCUUAGUUGCCAGCCUUAAGUUGGGCACUCUAAGGAGACUGCCGGUGACAAACCGGAGGAAGGUGGGGACGACGUCAAGUCAUCAUGGCCCUUACGUGUAGGGCUACACACGUGCUACAAUGGCAUUUACAGAGGGAAGCGAGACAGUGAUGUGGAG